GUUUAUAUAAUUUAAAAAGAAUAUUGUGUUGAAGCCACAAAAGCGACAACAUGUCUGUAAGCA
rnacentral:tRNA from 2 species